UUGAUCCUGGCUCAGAAUCAACGCUGGCGGCGUGCCUCAGACAUGCAAGUCGAACGCGAAAGGCCCCUUCGGGGGCCGAGUAGAGUGGCGCACGGGUGAUUAACACGUGGAUAAUUUGCCUUCGGGUGGGGAAUAACAACCGGAAACGGUUGCUAAUACCGCAUAAUGCAGCGGCAUCUAUGAUGACAGUUGUUAAAGCUGGGGAUCGUAAGACCUCGCGCCCGAAGAGAAGUCCGCGGCAGAUUAGCUUGUUGGUAGGGUAAUGGCCUACCAAGGCGACGAUCUGUAGCCGGCCUGAGUGGGCGGUCGGCCACACUGACACUGACAUACGGGUCAGACUCCUACGGGAUGCAGCAGUCGGGAAUUUUGGGCAAUGGGCGAAAGCCUGACCCAGCAACGUCGCGUGAAGGAUGAAGUUUUUCGGAAUGUAAACUUCACAAGAAUGGGAAUAAUAAGUUUGGGUUAAUACCCCUGACGAUGACGGUACCAUUUGUAAGCUUCGGCUAACUCCGUGCCAGCAGCCGCGGUAAUAAGGU
rnacentral:rRNA from 1 species